rnacentral:lncRNA from 1 species
AUAUGGCUAAAAGCUGCUUUUGUGCGCACUUUUUGCCAAGACGAUACAUCGGAUCGGGUGCAGCCUCAAAGGACCGAUAGCAAAAAUUGAGCCUAUUGCUGUGCUCUGCGUUCUUCCGUCUUGGUUUUAUCAGCAACACAAGCUUUGACAAUUCAAUAAUAGAUUCUGUGACGUUAGUUCACAAACUCGGACCAUCGCAACCGCCAAAAAUGGGCCUUAAGGCUGUACGCCUCCGACCGACUUCUCAAUGCACAAAAAAUGCACAUUAAAGCUGAAAGCAUCGACACGAUGCAAUUUCGUCUCCGGUUUUUUACCAUCGGUACCAUUAUAUCCUGCACCGGCGGCGCGAGCGGAUAGCCUCUCACCGUUUCUUUGUGUUUUUCGACCGUUCACUCACUUACACAACACAACCACCCCGCGACCUCCUCACCGGAGCAUGACUGCAUCACCGCAGCGUGCAUGCCACGCUUACCUGGGACCCCGGCUCCCUGAUCCCCGGUGCCCGGUGCAGCCCGGCGAGGAGUGGCACUCCACGGCCGGGCCCCCCGCCUGUCACCCCUGGGUCCCCGCCCGUCUCCCCCGGGCCCCGGGCGGGUCGCCUACGCGAGACCGUCCGUCUGGAGGGGGACUCCGCCGCAUGCAUCGGUCCUCCGCCCGGUACUCGAACCUGUCCGACCAGUCAUGUGUUUCGUCUCGGCACCGGCGCGUACCGCCUUCCCGCGCGCGUGUUUGUUUUGAUCCUGUGCUCCGUCCCGAGGGUGAUAUCGCCACCCCGUCCCCGCGAAUUUCGCACUAAAAUAUCUGUGACAACUUUGAUAUUUCUUAACAAAGUAAUAAUUAUUCUGCUGUUCCUUUCGCAAUUAAAUUGCAUCAUUCUAACGCACAUUUAUGUACGUGUCAAAUGCACUAAGUAAAGCUUAUUUUAGUGCAGCAAUUCCGCGUAUACUUUUUUAGUUUAUUGUAUCGUGUGUCGAGGAAAACGUUUAUUUACUUUCUGCGAUAAGAAAGCAAAGGGAGAGAAUUCACGCAUGUCCGAUUUUUUGCAGCGGAGUCGUUUUUUCGAAAAUCUCGCAAGUAACAACCGUUGAAACACCCCCCCCCCGCCCCAAGACCGGUCACUUAAAUUUUCAGUGCAUGCCAAUGAACGUGUCGGUGUUCGGUGUUUUCGGAAAUCGUGUUAAGUGAUCCUGAUUAGUGGGAAUUGUAUCGGUUUCGUGCGUGUCAAGUUCGUAUGACCAUGAGUGUUUCAAAAGUGUGUGCCCGUAGCUGACUUAAAGUGCCCAAAGGAUAACACAAUUCAUUCUCUGCUCUGUUUUCUUUGAAAGGAUAACGCUAACGGAAACUUGGAUACCCUCAGUGUUUUUAGGUUAGUCAAAGAAGACCAUCGUUUCUCCUUCGUCUCUUUCAUCUGCUUUUUUGUCAUGUAUUUUUACUCCUCGAUGUGUGUAUCUGUGGUCAGUCUGAUCAGCUAUCAGUUUUAACUGUAAAUUUGUCUUAAGAAGUGAACUGCCAUAAGAGAGUUCUUUCUUUAAGCAUGAUUUUGCAGUAACACAAUUUG